GUGCGAGGGGGCUUGCUCCCGAUAGCGGUGGGUCAGCCAGCUUAUUGGUCGCUGACUCACUGCAAUCGGGAGCAAGCCCCCUCCCAC
rnacentral:misc_RNA from 1 species